rnacentral:lncRNA from 10 species
AGAAUCUUAACAACAGCACUUUGUUACUUCAGCCUCUCACUAGAGGAUGAAAAUCGUUCUGCAUAAAGGCCUGGGCUUUAUGAAAAAUAUAUUCACACCUCCCGUGUCCGAGCUGGGAUACCAAAGAAGUUCCUGGUUGAGUACUACUUAUGAAUGAAGGAUUCAGGGGAUGCACAGAAGCCAUGCCUUCUCUCAGGAGCAGACAGCACAAGACUUUCCUGCCAGAGGCACAGUCCCCAGUGGGAGUAGCAUCCACAUAAGACAGGAUGCAGAGAUGUCUUCAAGCAGCUUCAAACAAAACUUCAAGAAAGAAAGUGCAAGUGAAAAAGGAAAUUCAUCCUUCCAGUCACUUAACACAGCACUGUCACGGACACCUUGUGCCUCCUUAAAAUUCGUAUACUGAAGUUCUAAGCCCCAGUACCCCAGAAUGUGACCUUCUUUGGAAAUAGGGUCAUUGCAGAUAUGAUUAGUUAAGAGGAGAUCAUACUGGAGUGGGCUUUAAUCCAAUAUGACUGGUGUCCUUAUGUAAAGGGGAAAUUUGGACACAGACACACACAAGGAGAACACCAUGUGAACUGAAGUCAAAGAUUUGGGUGAUGCUUCUACAAGCCAAGAAAUGCCAAAGAUGACCAGCAAAGCACCGGCAGCUGGUGGAGGAGCCUGGACCAGAUUCUUCCUCACAGCCCUCAAAAGGAACCAAUCUUGCCAAAGCUUUGACUUAGACUUCUAGCCCCCUGUGAUGGUUAAUGUUAAGUGGCAGCUUGACUGGGUUAAGGGAUGCCCAGAUAGCUGGUAAGACAGUAUGUCUGUGUGCAUCUCUCAGAGUGUUUCUGGACAAGAUCAGCAUUUGAAUCCUUAGAGUAAAGAAGAUCUGCCCUCACCCACGUGCAUCACCCUAUCUCUGGAGAGCGCGAACAAACAGGAGGAAGGGCACAUAUGCUCCUUCUGUUCCAGCUGGCACAUCCAUCUUCUCCUGCCCCCUGACUUCAGAGCUCCUGGUUCUCGGGCCUCAGGAUUCCAGCACUUACAUGAGAGCGUGCUUCCCCCUCCCUACUCCACCCCUAGGUUCUCCGCCCUUUGGCCUCUGACUGAAUUCCACCACCAGCUUUUCAGGGUCUCCAGCUUGCAGACGGCAGAUCGUGGGACUUCUUGGCCUCCAUAAUUAUGUAAGCCAAUUCCCAUAAUAAAUCUCCUAUCUAUCUAUCUAUCUAUCCAUCUAUCAAUCAUCUAUCUAGUCUAUCUAUCUAUCUAUCUCUAUCCUAUUGAUUCUGUGUCUCUGAGGAACCCUAAUACACCUCCAGAACUGUGAGAUGAUACAUUUCUGUGGUUUAAGCCACUCAGAAGGUGGUACUUUGUUUCACCAGGCCUAGCAAACUAAUACAAGUGCAUGGAAGGUGACUACUCAUGACUGCAACUUAGAGAACAAGGGUUAUAAUAAAAAUAAAAGUGUUAUACAAAGGUGGCAAGAUAAAUGACAAUAAAUGAAAAUAUUAACAUGUGAAUUAAAAAGUAAAGAUAUUUUUCCUAGCAUUCUCCCAGAAAGUAGAGACGCGUCUCUCUUGUUUGCCAUCAUAUCCAGCAAUGGCAAGAUAAGUUCUAGGCACUUCAUAAAAAUUUG